rnacentral:rRNA from 1 species
AUGGCUCUCGCGAGAUCUCACCCUCUCAUCGAUUUGUUCAUACCAACCAUCGACAGCGAGCACGGCAUAUGCUACACCCAUCCUGCGAAACUUCCAGGUAUCACACUGAGUGGCCUAAGCAAGCAUUUCUUCCAGCGCAAUUCCAGGGCGUUCAAAGGGGGCACGUGGACGCGUCACAAGAUACAGUCGGAGUGCGGCAUGCACGCGAUGUGGCACAACACCGGCAAUACCUUGCCGGUGAUGAUCAACGGCCAGCAGACGGGCAUCAAAAAUGUUCUGGUGCUGCACACCAACAAGAACUUCGACCAGCAGAGGACCAACUGGGUGAUGCACCAGUACCACCUCGGGGACCUGGAGCAAGAGAAGGAGCGGGAGCUGGUCCUCUGCAAGAUUUUCUACCAGACGAACACUAGGGCCAGGAGUAAAAAGAUUAUAAGUCAAGCAAGUUUCAACUGGGCAGUAGACUGCCCAGGCUUGGUUUUGUUUUUAACAGGCCCAGCCCAUGACGACAACAGGGCACAAAGAUCCAGCAGGCGAAUGCUUGAGGAGCGUGUGGUGGUGCGCGCUCCCCCACGGCUGCCCGGGGAGCGCACACUCAGGGCCCCCGCGCCCUGGGGUCAUCGAGAGGGGGUUGUCACGAGGUCCCUCAUGGCCCUCGGGGAGCAGCCCCACUCGUCGAAGUGCGGCAUCUUCUUGGCAAAGACUCCCCCAUUUGGGUGA